rnacentral:tRNA from 1 species
GCCUGAGUGGCUCAGUUGGUUAAGUGUCGGACUUCGGCUCAGAUGAUGAUCUUACAGUUCGUGGGUUCGAGCCCCACAUCGGGCU